rnacentral:lncRNA from 1 species
AUUCUUAGUCCGAACUGCCUAAAACUCAGUCCUCUAUUCUGCCAAUGCCAGAAUAGCCUUUAUAGCAGCCUUAUGUUCAGCCCUCUAAUUCAAACCAAUCUGCUGAAAGAAGUGAUUUUCGUGUCUAUAAUAAAAAGAACAACAAACAUGAAGGGAAGACUUUCCAGCAAAUCGAAGAUUGUCAGGAAUCCAACCUGAAUUUAGAGAAUAAAACACACAAGGUGAUGUCAAUUGUG